ACCACACACAGGAAGAGCCUGCAGCUAGC
rnacentral:piRNA from 1 species